GGGGGGGGAGCGUUUUUGAGAGGGAAGAGAGAAGACCAGAGAGAGAGAAACUCACCCAUCUUCAUUCUUCUUCUCCUUCAAUUAUUUUUCUUUGUUCCUUCUUUAGAAUCAAAAGUUCUUUUGACCCAAUUGUUUUUCUUCUUCAAAUUUGGGUUUUUUUCCUCUUUCUCGGACCAAACCCUAGAACAGUGAGCAAUGAAGAUUGAAGGCUUAGUUUUUUUUUAUUUUUUGUGCGAGGGAGAGCACCAAAUGUUGAAUCCGAGUAAGAUCGGUGGUUAGUGUGAGGCACUAAGAGAAUCAGUUUGCGAGUCAAAGAGAGAACACAGGACUGGGAGAGCAAGAUACAUAAUGUUCAAACCAAAGGUUACCGUAAAGAGGAGGAACAGGAAUUAUAAGGGUGACGAGAGAGGGAUUGGAGUAUAUAGGAGUUCAUUUAAAGUUUAUCCAAUUUAUGUAAAGGAACGUAUUAAACUUUUUACGUUGGUGAUGAAGUUGGAUAAUUUAUAUAUUGAAAUUGUAAAAGUUUUAUUUCUUUGGAAAAUUUAUAAGAGACAUGUAUAUUUAAUGUAUGAAUUGGAAUCGUCUUGUA